rnacentral:rRNA from 1 species
UACAGAGGGUGCAAGCGUUAAUCGGAAUUACUGGGCGUAAAGCGCACGUAGGUGGCCAAACAAGUUAGAUGUGAAAGCCCUGGGCUUAACCUAGGAAAGUCAUCUAAGACUGUUUGGCUAGAGUACAGUAGAGGAAAGUAGAAUUUCCGGUGUAGCGGUGAAAUGCGUAGAUAUCGGAAGGAAUACCAGUGGCGAAGGCGACUUUCUGGACUGAAACUGACACUGAGGUGCGAAAGCGUGGGGAGCAAACAGG